rnacentral:rRNA from 1 species
GUCUACAGCCAUGCCACCCUGAACGUGUCCAAUCUCUUCUGAUCUCAGAAGCUAAGCAGGGUUAGGCUUGGUUAGCACUUGAAUAGGAUAGGUGCUGUAGGCA